UGAGUGGCAUUAACUAAAUAAGUUAAAACUUUCAACAACGGAUCUCUUGGCUCUAGCAUCGAUGAAGAACGCAGCGAAAUGCGAUAAGUAAUGUGAAUUGCAGAAUUCAGUGAAUCAUCGAAUCUUUGAACGCACAUUGCGCCUGGCAGUAUUCUGCCAGGCAUGCCUGUCCGAGCGUCAUUUCACCACUCAAGCUCUGCUUGGUGUUGGAGGACCCGCGUUUAGUCGCGGGCCGCCGAAAUGCAUCGGCUGUUGUAUAUACAGCUUCCCUGUGUAGUAAAUGCUUAGCUUUACACUUUGAAACUUUUAUAUAACAUGCCGAAAAAC
rnacentral:misc_RNA from 1 species